rnacentral:rRNA from 1 species
GAUGAACGCUGGCGGUGUGCCUAAUACAUGCAAGUCGAGCGAACGGACGAGAAGCUUGCUUUUCUGAUGUUAGCGGCGGACGGGUGAGUAACACGUGGCUAACCUACCUAUUAGACUGGGAUCACUUCGGGAAACCGGCGCUAAUACCGGAUAAUAUUUUGAACCGCAUGGUUCAAAAGUGAAAGACGGUCUUGCUGUCACUUAUAGAUGGAUCCGCGCUGCAUUAGCUAGUUGGUAAGGUAACGGCUUACCAAGGCAACGAUGCAUAGCCGACCUGAGAGGGUGAUCGGCCACACUGGAACUGAGACACGGUCCAGACUCCUACGGGAGGCAGCAGUAGGGAAUCUUCCGCAAUGGGCGAAAGCCUGACGGAGCAACGCCGCGUGAGUGAUGAAGGUCUUCGGAUCGUAAAACUCUGUUAUUAGGGAAGAACAUAUGUGUAAGUAACUGUGCACAUCUUGACGGUACCUAAUCAGAAAGCCACGGCUAACUACGUG